rnacentral:rRNA from 1 species
GCAGAUCCAUUUUCUGCCACCGAAUACAUUAGCAUGGGAUAAUGGAAUAGGACCCUGUCCUCCUAUUUUCAGUUGGUUUUGGCAGCGCGAGGACUAGGGUAAUGAUUAAUAGGGAUAGUUGGGGGCAUUAAUAUUUAAUUGUCAGAGGUGAAAUUCUUGGAUUUAUGAAAGAUUAACUUCUGCGAAAGCAUCUGCCAAGGAUGUUUUCAUUAAUCAAGAACGAAAGUUAGGGGAUCGAAGACGAUCAGAUACCGUCGUAGUCUUAACCAUAAACGAUGCCGACCAGCGAUUAGGAGACGUUGAAUACAAAACACCACCAUCGGCGCGGUCGUCCUUGGCGUCGGUCCUUCACGGGGCCGGCGCGAGGGCGGCUUAGCCCGGUGGCACCGGUGAAUGACUCCCCUAGCAGCUUGUGAGA